GGAAAAAAACACCCACCCCACUGACCCGUCUCCAGACCCUGAUCCUCCUCCCCCAUCACACACCGCCGCUGCCGCCCGUCUCCCUCACCUGGCGCGCCUCCAUCCCUCGGCUCCCCCAUCGCGUCGCCGCCACCCGGCUCCAUCCCCUGUCGCUCGCAGUCGUCUGGCUCCCUCCCCCAUAGUACCACCGCCGCCCGUAUCCCUCCCCCAACGCGCCGCCUCCGCAUGUCUCCCUCCCCCAGCGUGCUGCUGCCGUCCGUCUCCCAUUUCCUAGCAUUCAGCAUGGUCGGGCUGUGACCUCCGGCUCCAGCGCCGACCCGCUCCUUUCCGUGCGCCGGCCACCUUCCCCCCUUCGCCAUGGCCGCCUUCCUUCCCCGCCGCACGCCCCCCGCUGCCUCCUUCUCUCUCCACCAUGCGCCGGCGACGAGCUCGUCCCCCAGCGCCGCCAGCCUCCUAUCCCUAUUGUAGUAUGAACUGCAUCAGCAGGGAAGGCCGAUGCUUCAGGAGUAGCAGCACACCACUGUUGACGCUACAAGGGGGGCAGAGGUGGGGUGAGACACUGCAACGGUCGCAUUCCCUGGAAGUCUAUCAAAGCUUAAGAAAGCCUGUGCUUCAGCAGAAAAACAGUGAGCCUAGGAGGGGAGUCGCUGGAUCAUGGACCUCUAGCUCGAUAGUCCAACUACAUGCUACACCGUUGGUCGCUCAAGGAGCUGCGUGCAGGCCACCCCGAGCUCCGGCCCUGGAUUCGGGUCAACUUUCUCCCUAUCAUCUAGGUAAGCUAGCCAGCGACUGAGAGACAGAGUCAUUCAUCCCCAUGUGUGUGUUUGUGAUAGAGAGGCAUGUUAACAUUAUCAUGUAGCAGCAACUGGGGGGAUGCUUAGUUCAGUUCAAAGACAUUAUCAUGCGAUCAUGGAUGAGAGUCAGAUUCAUCACGUAUCCAAUUUCUUUAGUUCGGUUCAAAAACUAAAAAUUAUUUCAGUUCAAUUCUUGAUGCCAUCUUCCCGGUUACUUCAAACGUAUUCCUUGCUUUUUAAUAUUUCUUGCACUUGCCUCCAUAUUCAUGUGACACUUGUUAGAUUGCUUUCAGUAUUUGAUGUAUUUCAUGCAAAACUUAUUUGAUUGAUCAAGAGAAGUGUUGUUUAUUAGUGAAUUUUCUUUUAGUGUAGAAGUUCAAUAUGUAUUUAUAUCAACAGUCCGUAAUGAAUAGUACAAUCUAUGUGUUAAAACACAACAGAUUAGUUAGAUUUAUUAUUUAUGUUUAGUGCAAAUCUUAUUCAAGUUCUGUAGUUCAAAACUCAGUAAUGUGGUUCUAUGUAGAAAAUACUUUUGCUCUCGUGCACUACUAUAUUUGCAGGAAAAAAAAUUAAGUUCUAUUGUCUGGAGAAUUCAGUCUGGAAUCAUGACAAAGAGAGCAUACGUUGAACUAGCUUUUUAUAGUUUAUCCCGAUGUAUUUAAGCAUUGGAGAAGAUGCCAUGUCUACGUACUAUCAUUCUCUUUUUAGUUUAGUUCAAUUUUUAAUUUUAGUUUAGUUCAAUUUAUUAUUUGUGUUCAGUACAAAUCUUAUUCAAGUUCUUGUAACACCCCGGAUUUCACCCUUUUCUUUUUUCAA